UGAACUACAGUUAGCUAGAGGGGAUGGGCAUGCCAAAAUAUUGGCUAUGACCAAAAAAUUGGUAUGGUUGGUUUUGGUCAUCAUCCAAACAUACCCUUAUACCCAAGGAAAUAUACCUGGUUUUCAUGCGAACACGGAAACAAGAUGUAAUGCUUGUGUACAAAUUAACCUUUUAUAUUUCAUAAAGUCCACGGUCAUAAUUUUCUUAAUUGUACUGUUAGGCUGUUAGCUACUCACAUAAGACUGAUUAAACACAUGUUUCGGCUGUGUGCACAGGUGUAGCCUGCUAAAUGGCCUGUCUGAAGACCACAAACUCAAGUACGUAAGUUUUAAAUUCGCUCUUUCUUACUGAUGAAGGGAGAGAUAUCCAUACUUAUUUUAUUUCAAGUACAGAACAGAUCAAUCUAUUCUUUGAAGAGUGUCAUAACUGACAGGAUAAGGUGCUUUUGAGGCUCAAUUUGCCAAAACCACCUUAUUGGAGCAGGAAUGGGAGUUUCAUACUUGCCAGCAGCACCAGCCUCGGUUUCUGAGACCUAAUACUACAAACAAAGCUUAACGGUUGGAGUUUUUCAACAACUGUGAUUGUACCAAACAUGAACUGAACAUCAGAUAGGUUGAAUAGAAUAUAUCGGUUGACUGGGGGAGGUUGUGGAAAAAAAGUUGGGGCAUGAUUGGCAAAUAAGGGUAAAAGAGAGAAGGACUGGAGGUUUAUUUCUUGCAUCCCUCAAUAGAGUACAGACCCUGCCUUUUAGAGGGCAGACUGAACAUGGCGCACGAGUGCUAUGUCUAAUUCUAUCUUAGUCCUUUAACCAGUUACUUUCCUAAACUAAUCUGAUCUUUCUUCUGGACUACAAUAUUAUUCUUACUCAGACAAUAAU
rnacentral:lncRNA from 1 species